UUAAAGCAGAAGAUCCUCUUUUUUUUGUUCCAAAGAAAUCUUACGUGGAAUCCUAAUAUAUAACAAACAAAGCACAAUUGUUGUAAUUGAAAUGGAGAUUGGAGACUGCAGGAGUCCCCUCCCAGCCUUUCUGGGCAGUCCCUGUAGAUGUCUACAAAACAAUACUUGGUAAUCCUCUGGGUUGGAGAAUAUCUGUAUUCUGUAGUGGAUAUAUGUUAUCUUGUUUAAUUUUUGGGACACACAGAUUCCAUUCCUGCACCCUGAAUUUCUCCUUGAGAGCCACCAUUCCAUUUCCCCAGGUCCAUAUGUUUUUGAUGAAGUUAAUUCAAUUUGGCUCCAGGGCUAGGCAUAUGAUUUUGUCAUGCCCAACAUUUCAUCCCACUGGACUCAGUGAUUGGUUCAGGAAUGUGCACAUGACCCUAUUUAGCCCAGUGAGAUUAGAUCUAGGAUUUUUAUUAAAAUUUAAGAGAGGUGGAAUUUUUUCCCCCCAUUAAACUUGAACUCUGGGACUAUGAAACCUGAAAAUAAAGUCUACAUGGAAGUAAACAGAGCUGAAAGAUGGAAAGAGACCAGAUCUCAGAGGUGUUAAGCCAUUGGAUUAAGAUUUGCCUGAAGACAGACAGAUCUGCCACUGGACCUUUGGUUUUGUGAGUCAAUAUAUAUUUUUUUAAUUUAAGUAGCUGGAGUUUCACCUUCUAUUAUUUGCAACCUAGAGUCCAAACUAGUAUGGAUUCCUUCCAGAUCCAGAAUCCCAGGAUCCUCGGGGAGGUAGAUUUUGGGGCUGUUCACCAACUUUCCACUUUUUCUUCUCCUGAGCACAUGGUAGGAUUGCACUUCCUCACUCGUUCUGAGUGGGGCAUGACAUAUGACUAUGGUGUAUGACUUUCUUUGUCAACAAAAUGUGAGUAGGCGUGAUAUGUGUCACUUCCAGGUGGGCUCUUUAAAGUCAGUGCAUGAUUCACUCCACUCUUUCUUUCCCAUAAUAAUGUUCCAGAUGUUGGAAGCUCCAUCAGCCUGGGUCCCAGAUUGAGGACAACGAGGAGCACAGAUCUCUGCUGACCCUUGAUGGAUUUGUACUCCUCUCUUCUAGAUCAAGUCAUGUGACAAGUUCUUGCCAAUGAAUGGAACAUGACAGGAAGUGAUAUGUGUUAUUUCCGGGCAACAGCAAUUAAGAAAUGGGUGCAUCUUCUCCACCCUCUCUUUCCCCUCCCACAGCUUGCUGCAGAGGAACCCAGCCACUUGGAAGCCAUGUGUUGAAGAUAAAAGGACCACAAGAUGGAAUACAUCCGGUUUCCUGAUGUAUUUUCCUCCAAAUACAUCAUUUGGAGGAAAGCCAACUCCAAUGCGUAGUGCUCAUUUUGGACUUGAUAAAUAAACUUUCAUUGUCUUUAA